rnacentral:rRNA from 1 species
GACGAACCAUGCAAACGUUAUUCGGAAUUACUGGGCUUAAAGCGUGCGUAGGCGGCUCAGAAAGUUGGGUGUGAAAUGCCUCGGCUCAACCGAGGAAUUGCGCCCAAAACUACUGGGCUUGAGGGAGUUAGAGGUGAGCGGAACUCACGGUGGAGCGGCGAAAUGCGUUGAUAUCGUGAGGAACACCGGAGGCGAAAGCGGCUCACUGGGGCUUAUCUGACGCUGAGGCACGAAAGCUAGGGGAGCAAACGGG